AUUGAACGCUGGCGGCAGGCCUAACGCAUGCCAGUCGAGCGGAUGAAGGGAGCUUGCUCCUGGAUUCAGCGGCGGACGGGUGAGUAAUGCCUAGGAAUCUGCCUGGUAGUGGGGGAUAACGUCCGGAAACGGGCGCUAAUACCGCAUACGUCCUGAGGGAGAAAGUGGGGGAUCUUCGGACCUCACGCUAUCAGAUGAGCCUAGGUCGGAUUAGCUAGUUGGUGGGGUAAAGGCCUACCAAGGCGACGAUCCGUAACUGGUCUGAGAGGAUGAUCAGUCACACUGGAACUGAGACACGGUCCAGACUCCUACGGGAGGCAGCAGUGGGGAAUAUUGGACAAUGGGCGAAAGCCUGAUCCAGCCAUGCCGCGUGUGUGAAGAGGGUCUUCGGAUUGUAAAGCACUUUAAGUUGGGAGGAAGGGCAGUAAGUUAAUACCUUGCUGUUUUGACGUUACCAACAGAAUAAGCACCGGCUAACUUCGUG
rnacentral:rRNA from 1 species